rnacentral:lncRNA from 1 species
GCGGAGCCAUGCGGAAUCCGUCGCAGGAAGUGGAGCAGAGCUGUGGCCGCUACUGCGGCCUACCAAGGGGUCUAGGCAUGUUGGCCGAAGUUCGGUUGAGGCGUCUGGUGGAGAAAGGUGGCUAGCUGCCCAUCUGAGAGGAGCUCGGAUGCUGCAAAUCCUGUUGAGCGCCUUGGGCGUUAAAGCGGCAGGCGAGGACCGCUUGCCGUAGAAGCUCG